rnacentral:rRNA from 1 species
GACGAACGCUGGCGGCGUGCCUAAUACAUGCAAGUAGAACGCUGAAGAGAGGAGCUUGCUCUUCUUGGAUGAGUUGCGAACGGGUGAGUAACGCGUAGGUAACCUGCCUUGUAGCGGGGGAUAACUAUUGGAAACGAUAGCUAAUACCGCAUAACAAUAGGUGACACAUGUCAUUUAUUUGAAAGGGGCAAUUGCUCCACUACAAGAUGGACCUGCGUUGUAUUAGCUAGUAGGUGAGGUAACGGCUCACCUAGGCGACGAUACAUAGCCGACCUGAGAGGGGGAACGGCCACCCUGGGACUUGGACACGGCCCCGAACUCUCCGGGAGGCAGCAGGAGGGAAUCUUCGGCAAUGGGGGCAACCCUGACCGAGCAACGCCGCGUGAGUGAAGAAGGUUUUCGGAUCGUAAAGCUCUGUUGUAAGUCAAGAACGAGUGUGAGAGUGGAAAGUUCACACUGUGACGGUAGCUUACCAGAAAGGGACGGCUAACUACGUG